GGGUAGGGGGGGGGGGUUUGGAAGGGGGAGGGGGGGGAAAGGGGGGGGGGGGUUUUUUUGGGGGGGGGAUUUCCCCCCCCCCCCCCGUUGGGGGUUUUUUUUUUUUUCUCCCCAUCCCCCCCCCCCCCCCCCCCCUUUUUCUUUGAGAGUUAUGUCCCCCCCAAAAAAAGCCCGGGGUCUUAAUCCGAAGGGAGACAAGGGGAGUCUCCUUCUUAGUUUGGCGCGAGGUGGAUACCCUGGUCACCCUCUUUAAGACUGGGAAUUUCGGGAACCGGGGUUAUCCCGGUAUAUUUUUGAACCCGGUGUUCAAAUAGAAAGCCGUUUUCGUUCCAUUUAGGAGGAUCCGGCCCCAUUAGUUGGUGGUAAGGAACGGCUCCCAAGGCAACGAUGGUAGCCGCCUGGAGGGUGAUCGCCCCACUGGAAUUGAGCACGGUCCAGAUUCUUCGGGAGGCAGCAGUAGGGAUUUUCCGCAAUGGGCGAAAGCCUGACGGACAACCCCGGGUGAGUGAGAAGGUUUUCGGAUCGUAAAACUUUGUUAUUAGGGAAGAACAAAUGUGUAAGUAACUAAGCACGUCUUGACGGUACCUAAUCAGAAAGCCAGGGCUAACUACGUGCCAGCAGCCGCGGUAAUACGUAGGUGGCAAGCGUUAUCCGGAAUUAUUGGGCGUAAAGCGCGCGUAGGCGGUUUUUUAAGUCUGAUGUGAAAGCCCACGGCUCAACCGUGGAGGGUCAUUGGAAACUGGAAAACUUGAGUGCAGAAGAGGAAAGUGGAAUUCCAUGUGUAGCGGUGAAAUGCGCAGAGAUAUGGAGGAACACCAGUGGCGAAGGCGACUUUCUGGUCUGUAACUGACGCUGAUGUGCGAAAGCGUGGGGAUCAAACAGGAUUAGAUACCCUGGUAGUCCACGCCGUAAACGAUGAGUGCUAAGUGUUAGGGGGUUUCCGCCCCUUAGUGCUGCAGCUAACGCAUUAAGCACUCCGCCUGGGGAGUACGACCGCAAGGUUGAAACUCAAAGGAAUUGACGGGGACCCGCACAAGCGGUGGAGCAUGUGGUUUAAUUCGAAGCAACGCGAAGAACCUUACCAAAUCUUGACAUCCUCUGACCCCUCUAGAGAUAGAGUUUUCCCCUUCGGGGGACAGAGUGACAGGUGGUGCAUGGUUGUCGUCAGCUCGUGUCGUGAGAUGUUGGGUUAAGUCCCGCAACGAGCGCAACCCUUAAGCUUAGUUGCCAUCAUUAAGUUGGGCACUCUAAGUUGACUGCCGGUGACAAACCGGAGGAAGGUGGGGAUGACGUCAAAUCAUCAUGCCCCUUAUGAUUUGGGCUACACACGUGCUACAAUGGACAAUACAAAGGGCAGCGAAACCGCGAGGUCAAGCAAAUCCCAUAAAGUUGUUCUCAGUUCGGAUUGUAGUCUGCAACUCGACUAUAUGAAGCUGGAAUCGCUAGUAAUCGUAGAUCAGCAUGCUACGGUGAAUACGUUCCCGGGUCUUGUACACACCGCCCGUCACACCACGAGAGUUUGUAACACCCGAAGCCGGUGGAGUAACCAUUUGGAGCUAGCCGUCGAAGGUGGACAAAUGAUUGGGGGAAGUCGAAGCAAAGAGCCUGGG
rnacentral:rRNA from 1 species